AAGGUGGAAACCGAAAAGCCUUUAAUAGAGUAGGAU
ncrna:unclassified sequences DTF805b RNA